AGGUGCCAUUGGCCUACCAACUCCAAAUUACAUUUAUUAACACGUGAAAGGGUGCUUUAAGCCUACCGUUUCAAGGUUCAUUUAGGAAAGCUCAUUAACUCCUCUUGAAAGGGUGCCAUGGGCCUACCGGUUCAAGUCUCAUCAUUAACCUUCAUGGAAAGGUGCCAUAGGCCUACUGAUUCCAAGGUUCAUUACUAUCAUUAAUGGAAGGGUGCCAUUAGCCUACCGAUUCCAAGGUUCAUUAUUAUCAUGAUUGGAAGGGUGCUACUAGCCUACCGAU
rnacentral:lncRNA from 1 species